rnacentral:rRNA from 1 species
CCUACGGGAGGCAGCAGUAAGGAAUAUUGGGCAAUGGAGGCAACUCUGACCCAGCCAUGCCGCGUGAAGGAUGAAGGCCCUAUGGGUUGUAAACUUCUUUUGUACGGGAAUAAACCUGGUUACGUGUAACCAGUUGAAUGUACCGUAAGAAUAAGCACCGGCUAACUCCGUGCCAGCAGCCGCGGUAAUACGGAGGGUGCAAGCGUUAUCCGGAUUUAUUGGGUUUAAAGGGAGCGUAGGCGGGAUUGUAAGUCAGUGGUGAAAGCCGUACGCUCAACUACGGAACGUGCCAUUGAUACUGCAGACCUACGAGUACACUUGAAGUGGGCGGAAGUGUGUCAUGUAGCGGUGAAAUGCUUAGAUAUGACACAGAACACCAAUUGCGAAGGCAGCUCACUAAAUUGUAACUGACGCUGAGGCUCGAUAGCGUGGGGAUCAAACAGGAUUAGAUACCCUGGUAGUCCACGCCGUAAACGAUGAUUACUCGAUGUUGGCGUAGUACACUACGUCUACGCGUCGUGUGACGAAGACGAUUAAGUUAAUUACCUACCGUACGGGUACGGUACGGGUACGGCGACGACGUACGAACGUACGAACGAAAGUAGUACGGACGUAGAGACGAGCGACGGACGACGACGACGGGAGGAGGGNG